UCACAUCGUCUUUGGCUUUCCGCUGAACACCACCCCAAAGGCUCUUUUCAGAGCCAUAUUUCACAUCGUCUUUGGCUUUCUGCUGAACACCACCCCAAAGGCUCUUUUCAGAGCCAUAUUUCACAUCGUCUUUGGCUUUCCGCUGAACACCACCCCAAAGGCUCUUUUCAGAGCCAUAUUUCACAUCGUCUUUGGCUUU